UGUUAUUGUUGUUGUUACUUCUUUUUUAAGAGUAGAUAGAAAAAGAGCUGACUUCCACUCUAUGCCUUGAAAAAAUGAGCCCCCAGAUCUUUAGUAAGCCCAAGGCUCUACCAGCUCUUUGCAGGAAAAAGUAGCGCUGGAGUUUCGUUAAGAUCCGUCCGAACUUUUUCAGAUUUUGACCCAAAGAACUCAUAUUUAAUUGUGGGUUUCGGUCGUUUGGAGGAUUUGAUUGUUGGUGGGGGGGAUUUUUUUUUAAGAUCUCUAAUAUUCUGUCCCCUUCCCAACACAGUGUCUGCCCGUGGCUCUUAUCCCAAGACGAUGGAGCCGACGGCACCGCCUGCCUCCCUGUAUUCCUCUGCCCUGCCCAUACACCCUGUGUGACCGUGGCCCCGCUCCCACGUGGAACAUCGCGCGUUUAGCCGAGAUCUGCGGAAAGGAAAGCUUAGUUCAAAUGCGUUUUUACCCUCCUAGUCUUCCCUUUGCCUGGGGAACACAGAAUGUUUCCCGUACGAAUACAGCAAAUGUAUUUUAUUUUACUUUUUGGAGACUUUAUUCCACCGUCUCUUUGAAAAAAUAAACAAAUCUUCUCCUGCCCGAGGAGGAGCCAGGAGACCUCCUCACCCUUUCUUGCUGUAACCCUUCUAAGUCGUUUGAAAUGAAUUUUCCUGUCUUUCGGCCAUCUGUCAAUGUCACAUCCACGCUGCCUGCGCGGGGUGUGGAUAAGCAGAGGGCAGGUGGGAAGAGUCCUUGCGCGUUUCUGGUCCCGCGUGAAGGGGUCUUCCUCCCCACGCCGCUGCCCCACUGACCCACCCUCCGUUCUAUUCCCCUUGGCCCCACCACCAGUACGGCUCCGGGGGGCCAGCUGUGACUUCGGGAGGAUUUUGUACUGCCGCCGGCUCGUGACGUGAGGCGUCUUUUGGGUGAGCGGUCAUGCUUCUUCCGCUCGGGAGGAGCACCGGGGCCGUCUGUUCGGGUGGGGCGAGAAGAGAGGGCAAGCUGCAGGGGGGACCUAAGGACGUAGCCUUCCUCCUGAAACCUCACUCGUCACUGUAGUCUUCGUCGUCAGCGAAGGGAGGACUAACUGACGAUGCCGCGAAAAUUUUUGCGCUGCCGAGGGAAGAGAAAGAUGGGAGAGAAAAACAAGUCCAAACUCCUAUGCUGGUGACAAUGCUUCGGCAAACGGAGUGCUCGUCUGUCUGUCGUGAAACCCCCGAGGAGGAGAGGGAGUGUGCCUUGGCCUCUGAGCGUCCCUCUGCCCCGGCGGGGAGGCUGGGACGCGGGGCGAGUGGGUUUUCAGCACCUCCUAAUUACAGCCUAACACCUAUUGAGAGAGAGAGAGAGACUCCACAAAGAUCCCACGGAGCCAAAUCCGAGUAAUCCUAUCCAAAAUCCCUAAUAAAGUUUAUCAAUUAGACCACUCAAACUCCUUCGGAUUCAUCCCACUGAGAAAGAAGCUGCCACGUCUCUAAGAAAAUUAGCUUGAACGAGCAAUUCAGUAUUAUUCCUAUCGCGUUUUGCUUGCAAAGCAGCGUCUGGUGGUUCAGUUUUUACUAUUACUUUUCCCCCCGUCUCAUAGGCCAGUUUUCCUCAAGGUAUCGCAGGAAUGAUGCAAACGAUAGAAGAUUCCCAGUUCUACUAAAAACAAUAAUAACGGCAUCAACAGCACUUGCGAUGAUCCCACAGCAGACUGGUGAUUUAAAGCCUGAUUAACUCUUUGUUGGUUUCACCUCCUACAGUAACUUUUAAAACAUCUGUCCUGCGGAAAGAGAAUUUCUUCUGCGCAAAAGUGACGUUUAGUCUUUAAAUACGGGGGUUAUAAUGGAGCCCUAAAAAGGCGAGAAGUGAUUUUGGGAAAUAUUGUAUACAUGCGCACUAUUUAGCGUUAUCAAUCUUUACCUCGGCUAUUGACACUUGCCUUGGAAAUAAUAAUAAUAAUAAAAAUUACACAGAAUUGAAAAGA